rnacentral:tRNA from 1 species
UUACUUUUAGUUUAAAUCAAAACUAUACACUUUCAUUGUAUAAAUUAUCCUAAAAUUAAAGUAAA